rnacentral:rRNA from 1 species
UCCGUAGGUGGAUAAUUAAGUCAGAGGUGAAAUCCUGCAGCUCAACUGUAGAAUUGCCUUUGAUACUGGUUAUCUUGAGUCAUUAUGAAGUGGUUAGAAUGUGUAGUGUAGCGGUGAAAUGCAUAGAUAUUACACGGAAUACCGAUUGCGAAGGCAGAUCACUAAUAAUGUACUGACACUGAUGGACGAAAGCGUGGGGAGCGAACA